rnacentral:rRNA from 1 species
CCUACGGGUGGCAGCAGUCGAGAAUCAUUCACAAUGGGGGAAACCCUGAUGGUGCGACGCCGCGUGGGGGAAUGAAGGUCUUCGGAUUGUAAACCCCUGUCAUGUGGGAGCAAAUUAAAAAGAUAGUACCACAAGAGGAAUAGACGGCUAACUCUGUGCCAGCAGCCGCGGUAAUACAGAGGUCUCAAGCGGUGUUCGGAAUCACUGGGCGUAAAGGGUGCGUAGGCUGUUUCGUAAGUCGUGUGUGAAAGGCGCGGGCUCAACCCGCGGACGGCACAUGAUACUGCGAGACUAGAGUAAUGGAGGGGGAACCGGAAUUCUCGGUGUAGCGGUGAAAUGCGUAGAUAUCGAGAGGAACACUCGUGGCGAAGGCGGGUUCCUGGACAUUAACUGACGCUGAGGCACGAAGGCCAGGGGAGCGAAAGGGAUUAGAUACCCUGGUAGUC